AUUAACAAUUUUAUGGCUGAGGUUCUUGUAAUUUGUGAUUUUACCAUUUUUAUCUGAUUUGAGAGCUCAAAAGAUUACAUCUUAACAUUAGAAACUUUGUAAUUAAGAUUUAUAACAGUAAGUUGUGUCAUAGCUAACAAGAGAAUAGAAAUAGCAGAUAGAACCAUAUAAACUUUGGAUAGUGGGAGAAUACAUAUUUUACUAUAAACUGGGGUCUGCCAAGAUUUUGUAAGGACCAGAAACCUUUUAUAACCAGUUUCAUGUUAAUCUGAACAAACCACUCAAUUCAUAGUUGACUUUUAAGCAGUAGAGUGGGAUAGUACGUCUUUAAUUAUUCCCCAAAUAUGCUUUUUUAAUUAUCUUCUUAUUUGUUAAGUAAGUCUGUACCACCUUCAUACCAAUAUUUAGCACCAUGUAAUGGGAUAUUCACCAUUUAGCUUCUGGGGAAUGUACAGUAUGUUAUUUACUCUGCACUAGAAUAAAGGGUCCAAUUGUAAUAAAAGUUCAUCCUUGCUUUCUGUGGUAGAACGUCAAUGCUGGAAGAGCAACAGCAUGCUUUUGACCAUGAAGCUGUAGCUUAUUUACAAACAAAAGAAUGCCCCCCUCCCUCUUUUCCCAUUUGCUUAUUCAUGAUGAUGAUUUCAUUAAUAGUACUACAGGUUGGGUUUCCUUUACACUGGAAACUAGGGUAAGUUUUAAUCACUUUGUCUUAAACAGAACUGGACCAGUGCAUACCAAACAAGCACAGCCUGGCAUUUCAGUAUGAGCCCCACUACUUUUAGCAUCUCUGUAUGCUGUAUGAGAAUACUGGUGCUGAAAGAUAUAACUAUACACACAGGCACAUAUAAUCAUGUUUUCUUAGAAAAUGGAAAAUAACACAUUUCUUGAGGGGGUGGGUAAUGGACCAAGAACUAGUAAUAUACCAGGAUGUCUGUUACCCGCCUCCUACCAAGAAAGAAUUGUAUUUUCUUAACAAAGUUAUUUGGAUAGAGGGUGGAUAGGUGGGAAAUCUUGGGUUUUUUUGGUAACAGACAUGCUGGAGAGAAACAGCUUUGGUUGUCAGUCAAAAGGCAGUUUAAACUCAGAUUAAUUUUAGGGAUUUGGUGGGGGCUUUUUGUUACUGCAAUUUAACUUAAAAAAAGAUAGUUCUUAAUUGCAAGCUUAUGCCACUGCUCUUUGACAGUGAAAUUAUAUUGUGUUUCAUUGCUUUCACACAGCAGUUCAUAGCUAUAGCCUACAGACUAGUAUAUAUGCGUAGUAUUAACAAAACAUUAGUACAUCGGGUUCAACAGUGGUCCGUGUUAUUUCUGUAGCAACACUGCAGGCUUCUGGCACUGUAAGGGGGCAGAUAUGCUGCAAGUUCAUAGGGAACAAACAAAUAAUCCCAUUAUACUGUCUUGUGGCAGAUAUUUUCUUUUGUGGCUGUGCAGAAUGACUGCCAAUAUUGUUCUCUAUGCUGCCUGCUGGUAGCUGGGGGAAGGACGGAGGAGCCUUUUAGUUCAUAUGUUCUAUUACAAGAAAACAAACUGGUAACAAAAUGCUAAUGGAGCUCUUCCCCCUACUCCUUGGGAGGCAGAGUCUUCUGAGUUUGGCAGCUCGUACUUCUCUGAAUCCUUGAGUCUCCCUUACCUCGUUGACCUGGAUGCUCUGUGCCUAGCAAUGCUUCUGCUGUCUAUGAGCAGAGGCUGCAGGAAUGCUCCUCCCACUCUCCUCCCCAUAACACUGACCAUGCUACCUCUGCAGAGGAAAAAAUCCCAACCUUGAGUUCUGCUUCAACCUUACAGGUAUUAAAAGCUCUAGCCCUCAGCCAUGAGUAAUAUCCACUCCUGUUUGUGUUAAUUUGUGCACUGCAGGACCUCUGAUUUAACUUAAUACAAUUGUAAUUCUCUUCUUUUGUCAAAAGCUUGUGAGUAUACAUGAAAGAGUAAGAGAGAGAAUAAGGAAGAAGUGGCUGUCACUCGGUGUUUUCUUUGAGAUAUUUUCCCCAAGGCUUAGGUUUCUUCAGAGCACAUACAAAUACACUGAGGAGCACACAGUAAAACAUCAAAGGUAAGUUGCUGCUUGAGGUGAGAACAAGUUCUUAUGCCAGGUCUAGCUCUCCAUGAUGACAGUCAUGACUGGCACACAGAGGCCAUUUCCAUGCAUCAGUCUCUGCAUUGAGGUUUUUCUGAAAUAUUUCUGUGGUUCAAUCACUGGGAAAGAUCUCAAGCCACAAGAAAAUGGAUUAAAGAUUCAGCUUUCACUGCGUGUUCUAUCUGUGUUAAGAAAAGCUAACAGUUUGAUCCCCCUCAGGCAAGGCCAGAGCUCUGGAGCCAGCUGCUGGCAAUGCUGUGUGGGCUGUGAAAGGUCUCCAGAAGAGCAUAUACCAUCUGCAACAGCUAUGUUUCUGUAACAUCCCAAGCAGCUCCUGCUGUUUUUUCAGGACUGAGUAGUAGCUUUGCUGUGGCUGUUACCUUUAGAGCUUUAAAACGUGGUAUUACCAUUGUUCUGAAUGAAACUGGAAGCAUCUUUUUGCAGAAAACAGGUCCAGGUAUACUCAGGUGAGCAAAGAUUCAUCUCUGACUUGUUCAGACAAUACAACCUGUGCAAAUAACUGUGAAUGCCUACAGGCAUAUGUGAGGAAUGCAUGGCAUGACUAGCACUGGGGAAGGGAAGGCAGGACACUUUACUCAUAGUAAAGCAGACUGAUGUAGACCAGAUGUUGCAGGUGUAGCAGGUCUGCAGUAUUUGACUUUUUUGUGAGACUAAAGCUUUUGUCUGUCACGUGCAUAGCGUAAGACUUACGAUUCCUUUAGCUGUUGCUUCUCUUUGUCCAUAAGGCAGGCACUUAAAAAGACUUUCAGGAUAUGAGUUAAAAUUAUUUCCUGAUUUUUAAUGGAUGCUUGUUCCAAAAUAAUCUGCAGUUUUGUUUUUUAGGCUUUCACAUGAGAAGACUGGAAGUUGGCUGAUGACCUGAUUAUGUUCUUGAGGGAAUGCAGUCUUUCUAGAGGAAUCCCUACAGCAACCUGUCUCACCCCACCAAGGUAGCCACUGUCCCUGCACACCCAACUUAGCAAAGUAUAAUGCAGGAAUUCAUACUUCACAAGUGAAACAAGUAUCUCCAACAGCCAUAAGCAUUAGGAAGGUCCAUGACUUCCUUUCUAAACUGCAAUGUAGGACAAAAUGCAUUACCUUCACAGUGAAUGACUGUUUCUACAGAGAAGUCAUAGAAUCGUAGAAUUGGUUAGAUUGGAAACGAUCCUUAAGAUCAUUGAGUCCAACUGUUAACCUCAAUGGAAUCAGAUUUCAGACUUUUUAAUUCCUAUUGACAAGAGUGGCAGCAGAACUGGCCUGAUGGGGUUUACUCCGUACAUGUCUUUGCCCUUUUUCGCCAGUGGGAGUGAUCAACUGUAAAGUGAUUUAGCUGUAAUGAAAGCAUGAAGGACAGUAUCAGGCUGGUUUUGAGCUACAGGGAGAAAAGUUUUCUGCAGACAAAUCCAAGGGAGAAACAGACCUAUUCCUCAAAAACAAUAAAAAGUUUCUGAAUUCUUCUUCAAUAUUUUAAGAAGCCUUCUCUUCAUUCUCAGAGUAAAUACAGCAUUUUUUCAAGCCCGAAAAAUGUUCCAAGCAAAUGGGAUAAAUGCAAGAGCAAAGUUUUUAUAGACUGCAACCUUAACUGCAGAGAGAAAAAAAUACCUCUCCAUAAGAAAGCAGCUUGUGAGUGAGUGGAGUUAACACAGGUACAUGAAUUUUAUGUGUUUCUUCAGUUAUGGCUUGAAAAUAUCAGUCCUCAGUAGUAAUAUAAGACAAGAUCUGAAAACUGUUCAGUGUGUUCACUGACCUAGUGAACUGAUCUUUUUCUAAGUUUCAAAAAACUGAAAAGGUGAAAUAAUGAUUUUCAGUAAGGUACUGUUUCACUGAAUGAGAAUGAAGGAAUAGCCUCUUUAGGAAGACCUCUUUCUUACAGGGUAAAUUUCCUUGGCUGGGUCUUCCCUGAUGACAUCCUUUUCUUCCAAGCCUGUAUGCUUUAAAUUUGCCUCUUCUGAGGAAGAAAUGGAAUUAAGAUAGCCUAGGUAGUACAUGGGAAGACACUGACUUCGGUUAAUCCUUACUUUUGCACAUCAGACUCUAGAUGAAUGGUUCCAGCUUGACCUGUUCCUAAAGCUUCAGUUAUGGCUUUAAAAAUUGGCCUGGUCCUAUGGAAGAAAGACCACCAUGUAUUAAAGCAUUAGUUGAAAUUAAAAAGGUGAACAUAAAACAGUGCACAAUAAAUGCAGGCUGCUGUUGGAGGGAGUGGAUUUUUCUGCUACUUUCAGACCCCGAUGCCCAUAGUUGCUGAUUAGAGGAGAUGGAGGGUCCUUCUGAAAGAGGCUGGUUGCUGAUGGACGGCUUCAGUGCCUGAGGGUGCUGGAUGCCCUGAAGUAGGAAAGGAACUUGUAGCAGAGGCUCACCACAAAGUACCAGAUGUUUCGAGCCAUCUGUGACCUUGCAAUGAAAAUGCGCCAGAUGAUCACAAGAAGCGUGGUGUUGAAUGCGUAUCGGAUGUUCCUUAGCCUGAGAAAGAGAAAGAGGCAUCUUAUGGAGGAAGACAAAAACAACAAAGAGCUUACCAGAUUGCUUCAUUUGCUACAGGUAAUUUUGUAAGAAUUCCUGUUUACAAGUGGCUCUUGGGCUUUUUGCCAUUCCUAUUUUAGUGAAGACACUGUGCCUAAGAUGUCCCUGCCAAAGACUGUGUUGAAGUUAGGGUACAAUGAAUAGUUACUGGUAUGGGUGGAAUACCUGUAUUACAAGUCUCUCUUGUUCUGUGUACUCUCAGUAUGACUGCUGUUCUGGUCUGAAGUGAGCAUUUUUAUUUCAUGAUAUUCUAGGUCCAAUACCUUUGUCUUUGAUUUGGUAUAUUGGCUAUUUUUCACUUUGCAGAAUUGGUAGCGGGCUAGAGGGCCUUUGCAAGAGAUGAUGAAUAAAGUUUUUCCAUUUGGGUA